CGGCCUUUCAUUUCAUUCCUCUUUUCUGUGUUUACAAAUUGCGACUGUUAGAGAAACGUUGGCCAAGCUGGCUCUUUAACCUGGCCACAUAUUUAUUUUGGCCACUCUUAGCUUUUAUUUCGCAAGGUCUCAUACUCACCAGCUCAGGUGCUUGUUACAUAAGAAAGCUCUGCCGGCGGAGUGCCAAAAAUUCAGCUCAGCAUUUUCUGCCUCCCUGCAGUGGUCCCAAGGAAUGGAUACCUCUGCAACCAUCUGCAACCUGGACCUUUGCAACAGGAAUCUCAGGCCAAAUGGAAAUGGAGCCUUUUAUGAAGUUUCCCUCUUUUUAAGCUGGAAAGUUGGCAGCGACGUCGUUUCGAAAUGAGUCGGAAAGUCUGGGUUGGGCUGGCAACAUCACCCCUAAGAUGAGGGCCGUUUACAAAUUUGUUUAUAAAAAGUGGGGGAGCUGGAGCUGUGUUUUCUUGGCGCUGUGCUGGAAUUCUGACCACUCGAAGAUGAGAUCUCAUUCUAGGAGUGCUUGCUAGUGCCUCCUUCAGGGACCAACCCUGUCAAGUGGGAAGGCAUGAAGUUCAAGAAGUCAGCAUUCCCAGAGGCAGGUCAGCUUGCUUUCAUUCUGUCGUACUCGGUUUCCUUACUUUCCUCCUAACACGUUACCUCUGAAGCAAAUGUUCCCGAGCACUGUCCCCUUCUAGAAAGACCUUGUAUGAGAACCUUAUCUUUGCACAGAGUGUGGAGACCGCCAUUAGGGCAGACGGGAUGGAUUUGACCAACCCAGGUCACAAACCAGUGAUGAUGGAGAGGAGAAUUCCACGAGUUAGCCAGGGCGCAGCGGGACAGAGGGAACCUGGCUCCUUACUUACAACAGCUUCUUGGAGCAAGGAAUCUUGGACAAAAAAAUAAAAGCAUUAGAUCGGUUCAAGGCUAUUUGUUCAACUCCACAUCUAACUCUGCUCUGGGUCCCAGAGACACCAACGUACACAAGAUUCACUUCUUAUGUCCCAGGAGCCCAUGGUCUACCCAGGAAAGCAGAGAGGAGAAAGAAGACCUGUUCUGUGAGGCUGAAUAAUUGAGCUGUGGGUAGGAACCUGAAGAGAGCAGAGCCAGGGCAGACCCCAAGGAGGGGAACUGAGCUGAGCCUGGCAAGAUGAACCCCAGCUUGCCCUCCUCCAUUGAGUGUGGUGAGGAGGCCCACAAAGGGCCUAGAAAUGUUCAUCAUGGAGCUUGGGAGAGAGGGAGAGAGGGGCCGCUCAAACUGUGUAUGUUGGUAUCACCAUUAUAAUUGCCUACACUUUACAAAAAGGCAAAACUGUUCAAAACUGUCACUUUCUGAAAAGGUGACAGAAUUCAGAGGUGGAGACUCCACCCAAGUACCGUCAGGCACAGCUGCUGCUGGGAAGCCUCUCCAAAAUGAGUUGAAGGCCACAGGCCUUGGAUGCUGGGCAGAUAGCAGAGACUGCUGGGCACCCCGGUGCCACAGAGUGCAAGAAGGUUCUCCCCCAACAGCCCCUUCCACGAACACCCUGGCACCUGCCCUGCAUGGUCCUGCUUCUAGGAACUUUCUUUCUUUUUUUUUUUUUUUUUAGACAGAGUCCUACUCUUGUUGCCCAGGCUGGAGUGCAGUGGCACUGUCUCGGCUCACUGCAACCUCUGCUUCCUGGGUUCAAGCGAUUCUCCUGCCUCAGUCUCCCAAGUAGCUGGGAUUACAGGUGCCCGCCAUCAAGCCCAUGUGUCUCUGUGUUGUCAUUUAAUGUCAGUGCAAGGACUCUGAUCAGCUAUAUUGAAAUAAUAUAUUACAUAUAAUAAUAUUGAAAUAGUUAUCAUGGGAAUGUAGAAAAUCACUUGUUUUCUUAAUCAAAGGUUUAAAAUGCUUUUGGAAUUAUUUUAAUAAGUAUUAUUUUUACCCAUUUCAGAGUCUUAUAGAGAACAAAUCUACAGCAGCCCUGGGGCUCCUCAGGGAGAACAGCGAUGGGUAUUUUGGGAGGGGCCUCAUGGUGGCCCCACAGGCUGAGGAGCGAGCUGUCUGAUUAGUGCAUUUGGAGAAGGGGUGAGCAUUCUCAGCUGAGAGCCUCUUGCUUUUGGGGAGUGUUUUGACUAAUAGUGGCCAAUUAUUCACACCAUGAUAAAAAAUAUCAGUCAUGAUAGAUAGCAAGCUCUUCUCGUGUUCACGACUCGGAGUGAGGUAGCGUUCUGAUUCUCUUCCCUUUGUUACCAGAAAAGGGUCCCAAUCCAGACCCCAAGAGAAGGUUCUUGGAUAUCACACAAAAAAGAAUUCGGGGUGAGUCCAUACAGUAAAGUGAAAUCAAGUUUAUUAGGAAAGUAAAGGAAUAAAGAAUGGCUGCUCGUGGACUGCUCAGCUACUUGUACUUACUGUUACUUCUUGGUUAUGUGCUAAACAAGGGGUGGGUUAUUCAUGAGUUUUCCAGGAAAGAGGUGGGCAUUUCCUGGGACUAAGGGUUCCUCCCCUUUUUAGACCAUGAAGGGUAACUUCCUAACAUUGCCAUGGCAUUUGUAAACUGUCAUGGCGCUGGCGGGAGGGUCUCUUAGCAUGCUAAUGCACAAAAAUUAAUAUAUAAUGAGCCGUGAGGAUGACCAGAAAUCACUUUCGUCACCAUCUUGGUUUUGGUGGGAUUCGGCCAGCUUCUUUACAACAUGCUAUUUUAUCAGGAAGGUCUUUGUGACCUGUAUCUUGUGCCAACCUCCUAUCUCAUCCUGUAACUAAGGAUGCCUUAACCUCCUGGGAAUGCAGCCCAGUAGGUCUCAGCCUUAUUUUACCCAGCUCCUGUUCAAGAUGGAGUUGCUCUAGUUUGAAUGCCUCUGACACCUUGAAUUCAUUUUUGGGUCUGAAAUGGACACUGUGAGCUGGCCAAAGAGGGGAACUGGGUACCUACUUACUGAUUGAGUUUCAAAGGAGAGCUCUUAACUUCAUGAGAAAUGCAUCCUAAUCUCCCACAUUAAUGAGAUGCUUCCAAGAAUGAUUAUACUCCUUGAUUAUUGAUUAAUAGAUUGACGCAGCCCAGAAUGAGGUCUCUAGGGACACAGUGCAGGGCUCAGAUAUCUAAGGUCCCGUAACCCCUCUGAGAAUGUAGUAUCGCAGAAGUGUGUUCUGUUAAUCAGGGUGGGCCAAGGGCACAAGUAAUCCCCAAAGCUCAGGGGGCAAACACAAAAAGUGGCUCCCUUGAGUUCAGAGGUCAGGUGGCUCUCCUCCUGCAGCAACUCAGGAAUCCAGUAUGCUUCCCUCUCACAGAUCUGCCAUCUGGAAGUUAUUUGCUAACAGCCCCUGAUGAGAGAGCAAAAGUGUGAAGAGCUCACACCUGCUCUAACACGUUGAACUGAUAGCAACCAUCACUUCCACUCACAUCCAUAUUGGCAAGAACUCAGUCACAUGAUCUCACCCUAGCAAGGGCUACUGGGAAACGGAGUCUUCCUGUGCACCCAGGAAGAAGAAAUGGCGUAGUGAAUGGGAAACAAUCCCCAGGCCCCGUGUAAGUAGAAAGCAAUUGUCUUCAUUGUGUUUAAUUGUACUAAGGCCUAUCAGGAGAUUCACAAAGCUUCAUAAAACCAACUUUUUUUUUUUUUUUUUUUGAGACAGGGUCGUACUCUGUCAUCCAAGCUGGAGUGCAGUGGUGCAAUCAUGGAUCACUGCAGCCUCAACCUCCCAGGCUCAGGUGAUCCUCCCACCUCAGCCUCCCAGUAGCUGGGACUACUACGGGUGUGCGCCACGGUGCCUGGCUAAUUUUUGUAUUUUUUGUAGUGAUAGGGGUCUCACUAUGUUUCCCAGGCUGGUCUUGAACUCCUGGGCUCACACAAUCUACCAGCCUUAGCCUCCCAAAGUGCUGGGAUUACAGGUGUGGGCCACUGCACCUAGCCUCAACCCUCUUUGUGUAAGACAAGUAACUUUGCUCAAGAUGAAUCCUUAGUGGACAAAAAUUUCCCUCUUGUCAGUUCUCUGCUUAUAUAGUUGCUUAUUUCUAAGUCUGACUCAGGCAAGAGGUUUGGCCCCCCACAAGUAGAAACUAAUGGGAGUGUUGUCAUUGGAACAUCUGCACGUGAAAAUGUGUUGGUGGUAAAGGGAUGGGAAACGUGUGUUGCCAAGGAGUUCCCAGCACCUGAAAGAAGCAGAAAGUGUGUGGCAAUUAAUUGUCCUAUAAAGGUUGGAAAUUGUAUAAAGCAAAAAAAUUAAAGUUUAAAAAAUUUUAAUAAUUAUUUUAAAUACCUGAACAAGUCCCCAGAAUAAAAACUUAUGGUUGUCUUAAGAAACACCCUUGCAGUAGCAGCCUUUGUUCCUUGGAGAGAUUCAACCUGGUCCCAGAGAGUGGCCUGCUUCUCUGUGCUGUGAUGCCA
rnacentral:lncRNA from 1 species